GUGGUUGUGGCUCAGUAGUAGAGCAUUUGCCUUGCACCCAUGAGGCAUUGGGUUUGAUCCUCAGCACCACA
rfam:Ictidomys tridecemlineatus contig129635, whole genome shotgun sequence.